UCUUGGUCAUUUAGAGGAAGUAAAAGUCGUAACAAGGUUUCCGUAGGUGAACCUGCGGAAGGAUCAUUAUUGAAUAAACUUGGUUGGGUUGCUGCUGGCUCUUUGGAGCAUGUGCACACCUAGCACCAUUUUUUUACCACCUGUGCACCUUUUGUAGACAUGGAAUAUCUCUCGAGGAAACUCGGUUUGAGGGGCCUGCUGUGCGAAAAAGCCAGCUUUCCCUUGUGUUCCUAGUUUACGUCUUCAUAUACACCCCAUGAAUGUAACAGAAUGUCUUUUAAAUUGGCCUUUGUGCCUUUAUAAAUCAAAUACAACUUUCAACAACGGAUCUCUUGGCUCUCGCAUCGAUGAAGAACGCAGCGAAAUGCGAUAAGUAAUGUGAAUUGCAGAAUUCAGUGAAUCAUCGAAUCUUUGAACGCACCUUGCGCUCCUUGGUAUUCCGAGGAGCAUGCCUGUUUGAGUGUCAUUAAAUUCUCAACCUUUCCUCCUUUUAUUAGCUGGUCAGGCUUGGAUUGUGAGGGUUGCGGGCUUCUCGGAAGUCAGCUCUCUUUAAAUGAAUUAGCGAAACCUUUGUUGAAUUAGCUCUGGUGUGAUAAUUAUCUACGCCAUUGUGAAACAACCUACCAUAGGGUUUGGCUUCUAAUCGUCCUUUGGGACAAGUUUUGACUAUUUGACCUCAAAUCAGGUAGGACUACCCGCUGAACUUAAGCAUAUCAAUAAGCGGAGGAAAAGAAACUAACAAGGAUUCCCCUAGUAACUGCGAGUGAAGCGGGAAAAGCUCAAAUUUAAAAUCUGGUAGUCUUUGGCUGCCCGAGUUGUAAUCUAGAGAAGUGUUAUCCGCGCUGGACCG
rnacentral:rRNA from 1 species